AAUAUCGAUGACAGAGACAUUCUCUGUGUGCAGAUUGCAGGUCUUUGCCAUGACCUGGGACAUGGCCCCUUUUCUCAUCUGUAUGAUGUAAUGUUCAUCCCCGAA